AGUUCGAUCAUGGCUCAGAUUGAACGCUGGCGGGAUGCUUUACACAUGCAAGUAAGUCAGAAAUCGGUGCGUUUCGACUUCGGUCUGGUGGCGAGUGGCGAACGCGGCGAGGAAUUGGGAAAUGGAAUCAGCCGGUGGUGCGGGGGAUAACUACGCGAAAGCGUAGCUAAUACCGCAUACGCCCUUCGGGGGAAAGCGGGGGACCUUCAAGCCUCGCAAUGCUGAGCGUCGAUAUCGGAUUAGCCAGCCGGUGGGGCAACGCCCGCUCAAGGACGAUCCGCAGCUGGUUUGAGAGGAUGACCAGCCACACCGGGAGACCAGACACGGCCCAGACUUACGGCAGGGGGAAUUUUGGACAAUGGGGAAACCCGAUCCAGCCAUCCUGCGUGUGCGAUGAAGGCCUGGUUGUAAAAGCACUUUUGGCAGGAAAGAAACGGCAGGGAUAAUACCCGCAACUGAAUGGUACCCUGCAGAAUAAGCACCACACCCACGUGCCAGCAGCCGCGGUAAUGGUGGCAAGCGUUAACGAACGCCAUUGGGCGUAAAGCGUGCGCAGGCGGUUCGGAAAGAAAGAUGUGAAAUCCCAGAGUUUAACUUUGGAACUGCAUUUUUAACUACCGAGCGGAGUGUGUCAGAGGGAGGUGGAAUUCCGCGUGAAGAAAUGCGUGAUAUGUGGAGGAACACCUGACAGCGAAGGUAAAGCUCUGGGAUAUAACACUGACGUCAGUGCACGAAAGCCGUGAGCAAACAGAUUAGAUACCCCGGUGGUCCACGCCCAAACGAUGUCAACCACUAGCUGUUGGGGCCCGGCCUUGCAGCAGCUAACGCGUGAAGUUGACCGCCUGUGGAGUACGGUCAAAGAUUAAACUCCGAAGGAAUUGACGGGGACCCGCGCCAGCGGUGGAUGACAUGUGGAUUAAUUCAGACGUGCAACGCGCGAAAAACCUUACCUACCCUGACAUGUCUGGAAUCCCGAAGAGAUUUGGGAGUGCUCGCAAGACAGAACCGGCCAGCAAGCGUAAUGUUGUCGUCGCCUGCAAAGUCGUGAGAUGCCGUUGUCCCGCAACGAGCGCAACCUUGCUUCAUUAGUUGCGCGCGAAAGGGCACUCUAAUGAGACCGCCGGUGACAAACCGGAGGAAGGUGGGGAUGAGCGUCAAGUCCUCAUGGCUCCCAGCGGGUAGGGCUUCACACGUGUCGGCAACGGCCGGGACAGAGUGGUCGCCAACCCGCGAGGGAGCCAAUCCCAGAAACCUGAUCGGGUCCGGAUCGGGUAAAGUCUGCAACUCUCGACUGCGUGAAGUCGGAAUCGCUAGUAAUCGCGGAUCAGCAUGUCGCGGUAACAUGUUCCCGGUCUUGUACACACCGCCCGUCACACCAUGGGAGUGGGUUUUACCAGAAGUAGUUAGCCUAACCGUAUGAGUGGCGAUUACUUACUUGUAGAUUCAUGAUCGGGUAGUCGACGGUUGCAGUCGAAGCGAUGCCUGAGCUGCUCCC
rnacentral:rRNA from 1 species